GAGUGGAAACCUCACUGACUACCCUGGUUGAGCCAAUUCAGAGACUCAGGGGCUGUCUGCAAGCUCAGAUGGGAGAGGGAAGGGCCCCAAGUGCAGGACUCAGGAGGUCACAGGUGCCACAGAAGUAUGCGUCUGGCGAAGGCUUUGCAUGUGAAUAAACACUGACCAGCUCUGUAUGAGGUUCCUCCUUUUCAUCCCACCUAUGAAAAUAUGCUGAAGAAAACAGGAAAGGCAAAUGAUAACUCAGAGACGCAGUGUUUAAAAGGCUUAAAAAUUCAUCGAAUCAAAUGGGAUUCAAUCUGCAGCGCUCUCCUGCUCUCAUCAGGUGUUGAUUUCUUGGUACGGAAAAAAUAACACCUAAAGGGAGAAAACAAGAUUUUUCACUUGAAAUAUUUAUGGAAAUAACUUUGAAAAGUUUCUGAACGUGAAAGUGACGAUCCAUCUGAAUUAGACGAACUUGAGUAAAAAAAUCGACAAAUAGACGCCUCUUGAUCUUCACGGUCCUGACGGGGAAAGGACCAAGGGCAUUGAACCAUAUGAACUUUGAAGUUCAUUUCUAGUCUUGUAAUUCAUGUGUGCCUGAAGAUGUGGACCUCAGGUGUUAAUUUACUUCACAUCAAAGACUGGUUCUAGAAGUCUAUAGAUUCUGGUUUAAAUAAAAUAUGGUGAUUAAAAAAUUCAGUCUUA